AUUGAACGCUGGCGGAAUGCUUUACACAUGCAAGUCGAACGGCAGCACGGGAGCUUGCUCCUGGUGGCGAGUGGCGAACGGGUGAGUAAUAUAUCGGAACGUACCCCGUCGUGGGGGAUAACUCUCCGAAAGGAGUGCUAAUACCGCAUACGACCUGAGGGUGAAAGCGGGGGACCUGCAAGGGCCUCGCGCGAUGGGAGCGGCCGAUAUCGGAUUAGCUAGUUGGUGAGGUAAAGGCUCACCAAGGCGACGAUCCGUAGCGGGUCUGAGAGGACGACCCGCCACACUGGAACUGAGACACGGUCCAGACUCCUACGGGAGGCAGCAGUGGGGAAUUUUGGACAAUGGGGGGAAACCCUGAUCCAGCCAUUCCGCGUGAGUGAAGAAGGCCUCGGUUGUAAGACUCUUUCUAGCAGGAACGAAACGGUAAGGCGUUAAUACAGUACUGCUAAUAGACGGUACCUGCAGAAGAAGACACCGGCGUAACU
rnacentral:rRNA from 1 species